rnacentral:rRNA from 1 species
AGCGAACGCUGGCGGCAGGCCUAACACAUGCAAGUCGAACGAUCCUUCGGGAUAGUGGCGGACGGGUGAGUAACACGUGGGAACGUGCCCUUUGGUUCGGAAUAACUCAGGGAAACUUGAGCUAAUACCGGAUGAGCCCUUCGGGGGAAAGAUUUAUCGCCAUUGGAGCGGCCCGCGUUGGAUUAGCUAGUUGGUGGGGUAAAGGCCCACCAAGGCUACGAUCCAUAGCUGGUCUGAGAGGAUGAUCAGCCACACUGGGACUGAGACACGGCCCAGACUCCUACGGGAGGCAGCAGUGGGGAAUCUUGCGCAAUGGGCGAAAGCCUGACGCAGCCAUGCCGCGUGAAUGAUGAAGGUCUUAGGAUUGUAAAAUUCUUUCACCGGGGACGAUAAUGACGGUACCCGGAGAAGAAGCCCCGGCUAACUUCGUGCCAGCCGCCGCCGUAACAC